rnacentral:lncRNA from 1 species
ACUAUGUACACAGGGUUCAAUUAAGAAUCAAGGCAAGUUCUAGCAUUACCCUAGUCAAGAUGUCAAUUUUCACACAAGAAAGAAAAAAUUGUUAUGGGCAUAAGACAGCAUAUAUCAAAGCUCAAAACCUCACAUGGUAUGCCCACAGCCCUAUCCAUCUUUCUCAACUACAUACGGCAUGCUUGGAAAUUCGAAUCUCAGACUACUUGCACAACAAACUCAGAACAUAAUCAUGCUUAUUUGAUUGCAAAUCGAAAGGCUAACCACAGGCAAAGAAAACAACACACGGCCCACCCCAC